rnacentral:rRNA from 1 species
UAUGGGGGUCCGACUAAGCCAUGCGAGUCAUGGGGCGCGCUCUGCGCGCACCGGCGGACGGCUCAGUAACACGUCGGUAACCUACCCUCGGGAGGGGGAUAACCCCGGGAAACUGGGGCUAAUCCCCCAUAGGCCUGAGGUACUGGAAGGUCCUCAGGCCGAAAGGGGCAUCUGCCCGCCCGAGGAUGGGCCGGCGGCCGAUUAGGUAGUUGGUGGGGUAACGGCCCACCAAGCCGAAGAUCGGUACGGGCCAUGAGAGUGGGAGCCCGGAGAUGGACACUGAGACACGGGUCCAGGCCCUACGGGGCGCAGCAGGCGCGAAACCUCCGCAAUGCGGGCAACCGCGACGGGGGGACCCCCAGUGCCGUGGCAUCGCCACGGCUUUUCCGGAGUGUAAAAAGCUCCGGGAAUAAGGGCUGGGCAAGGCCGGUGGCAGCCGCCGCGGUAAUACCGGCGGCCCGAGUGGUGGCCGCUAUUAUUGGGCCUAAAGCGUCCGUAGCCGGGCCCGUAAGUCCCUGGCGAAAUCCCACGGCUCAACCGUGGGGCUUGCUGGGGAUACUGCGGGCCUUGGGACCGGGAGAGGCCGGGGGUACCCCUGGGGUAGGGGUGAAAUCCUAUAAUCCCAGGGGGACCGCCAGUGGCGAAGGCGCCCGGCUGGAACGGGUCCGACGGUGAGGGACGA